AAUCACACAGAAACUCCAAUAUAGAAAUGGUUGUUGUUGUAAGAGAGAAUUAGAGAGCGGAAUCGAGAAGAACCAGGGAUUGACAAUGGUUUUUCUCAGAAGAGGUCUAUGAAGGGAGAAGAUCAAAUUCUGUGCAACUCAGAUGAAGAACCAGAGAUGAGGAACGAGUUCAAGUUAGGGUGCUUGGAAUUGAGAAGGGUUUGAUGGUUCGAUUUGUGAGGAAUCUGCAAAGUAGAAGAGAUUUGAGCAUAUGGGUCCAAUUCAGAAGGAGGAAAUUAGGGAUUGAAUUUGUUUUGGAUUUGUUGUUUAACCAAGGAAAUAGGUUUUUUCUGUGAGAAGAGAUGGAGAAUUCGAUUGAUGCUGUUAUUGAUCUUUGAUAAAGAGAUAGUGAGAGGGGGUUUGGUUCUAAUGAUGGGGAUUAAGCAAUGACUCUGCUAAUGUUAGGUUUUUGAGAUUGAAGAGAUGAUGCAACUGAUGAAUGGGUUUUGUAGUCGGUGAUGUGACUGAAGCUGAGACUGGCUAGAAACUGGAAUGGUUUUGAUGGGAUUCAAUUUUGUGGAAUACAAUUUCAAAUUGAAUCCAUGGAUAAGAAUUCAAUAUAUGGUUAAGUGGUGGUCUACUAUAUGUAGAUUUUGGCUAUGGAAUCCGUGGAUACAUCACCGAGAAUGGCACCAGUAAUGAUGUGUUUGUAGGCAGCUCUCUCGUAGAUAUAUACGACAAAUUUGGGUUGCCAGAGAUGGAUGUAAGCUUGUUUACGGACAUGCCAGAGAGAAACUUGGUUUAUUGGAAUUCGAUGAUUUCCUGCUACAACAGAAAUAACCUCCCUGAACUGUCCAUUGAUCUUUUCCCUCAGAUUAUGCACCACGGACCGAUGGGAAAUUCCGUUUCCAUCACAAAUUUACUAGUUUCGGUUUCCUCACUGCUGCAUCGCAGAAAGGUGAUGUAGAGUCAGGGUUUCAUUCAAUUAAUUCAACUGAAUUUCAAUUAGGGUUUAAUGCAAAUAUGAUUAAUCUGAUGUUCUUACUAAAGACUUCAUGAAGGUGCUGAUUCAUGAGUUCAUACCAAUGGAAAGUGAUCGCCAUUCCGGUAAACCUUCUUUGCUAUACUGAUAUGAAUUGUGGUCCAUUAUUGUUGAUUUCUCAUUAAUUUUUCUUUUCCCUUUUUUCAUCAAUGAGUAUUGGUAUGAGAUUUUGAAUAGAUUUACGUUUUUCUUAAUGGACAAUGAGCCUUGGGAAAUUUUUGUUAUCCAUCUAGACUUGCGCAUAAACUUAAUUCUUAUAGACUUGCAGAUUCUAACUUACUGGAUGAUAAUGCAAGUUGAUAAUCCGACCUCGAUACUGAGAAUCCCUUAUGUGCACCGUUAACCGGUAUCCCAGAUCAAACUUAAAGAAAACAACAUUUUAAGGGCGAGUCAAUUUCUACGCUUCUUAGGAAUGGUUCCCGGUAGAUUUCACCAGAGAUCAACUUUGAACCAAAAAUGCAUCUAUUGUCUUUCUCUACAGUUGUUUGGAUAACUUAGUAAUAACCUCAGUUCUCUUACAUGAGGCGACAUAUGUUCUCGCCGCCAAUAUCAGAAUCCUACUAUGGGUAGUAGCAUCACAAGUGGGUCGUUGAUACCAAAACCGUAUACAUUUUUUCUAUUGUAUCUUAUGAGUUGGGUGGUCAUAUGAGUGACACCGAAGAGUUUGUAUUACUUUAUACUCCAAAAAUCUCUCUUUCUGCAAUGGAUAUGCACGAGAUGUAAUAACUUGAUGUCUUGGUUAGUAAUUGAUGGAACUGGAAAAUUUCUAUGAGAAUAAAGCGUAGCAAGGCACUUGAAGAAUGUUGGGAUUUGAUGUUGAGAUCUUUAAAACCGGAUCUUUAAAACCGGUGAAACUGAAUAGUGUACAUAAAAUGACUUCACAAGUAGUCCCUUGUAAGACACCUCCUCCUCCUGAACUUCCGUCUGACAAAAAGAGAAAUGAUUUGGGAAGGGUAAGCAUUUUGGCCGAGCCAGUUCAUAACAAUAUUUUCUAACUCGGUUGCUGCUGGUGAAGAAAUCCAAUUGAAGCCUACAACAUUAAAUCCAGUACUAAGUAUUUCACCAAGGAACUCAGCAAUGGAACCACUUGAAGGAAAAUAAGCGAAGUAAUUUGGACUAUGCCAAUGAGUAAGACCAGAGAUGAUAUCAUUGGUUACAUCUUGAAGAAUGGUUUCAAUGGAUUCAGAGUUGUUUGGAGAUGAUUCGGGUAAUCGUUUACGCAAGUAUCUAGGCUCAACUUGACUCCUAAGAGGAUAACUCUCAACAUUUUUUGCAGUAAUCAGCAAGGAAAUCAAUGAUCAUAUGACCUUGCCUUUUGAAAUCAUCCGGAUCAAGUGGGUUUUGUGAACAUAUUGACAUGCUUUCGAGGUUACCGUAGGGAGACUACCCAUUGUAACUACUUUAGCUGAUUAGCGAGUGAUAAUUUGAGAGAGAGUUGGUGCUGAGAAUCUCUAAAGAUUUGAAUAGAAGAAAUUUUUUACGCUAUCAACUUAAUUAAAUUUUGUUUUACAAAUUAGAAUUAUGAUAAUUUUUUUCUGAA